rnacentral:rRNA from 1 species
UACGUAGGGGCAAGCGUUGUCCGGAAGUCAUUGGGCGUAAAGAGCGUGUAGGCGGUUCGAUAAGUCUGCUGUGAAAGUCCAGGGCUCAACCCUGGAAGGCCGGUGGAAACUGUCGGGCUAGAGUCCGGAAGAGGCGAGUGGAAUUCCCGGUGUAGCGGUGAAAUGCGCAGAUAUCGGGAGGAACACCAAUGGCGAAGGCAGCUCGCUGGGACGGUACUGACGCUGAGGCGGCGAAAGCCAGGGAGCAACGGG